rnacentral:rRNA from 1 species
UACAGAGGGGGCAAGCGUUGUUCGGAAUUACUGGGCGUAAAGGGCGCGUAGGCGGCCUUCUAAGUCGAACGUGAAAUCCCCGGGCUCAACCCGGGAACUGCGUCCGAUACUGGAAGGCUUGAAUCCGGGAGAGGGAUGCGGAAUUCCAGGUGUAGCGGUGAAAUGCGUAGAUAUCUGGAGGAACACCGGUGGCGAAGGCGGCAUCCUGGACCGGUAUUGACGCUGAGGCGUGAAAGCCAGGGGAGCAAACGGG